GCCCCCGUAGCUCAGCGGAUAGAGCGCUUGGCUUCGGACCAAGAGGCCGCACGUUCGAAUCGUGCCGGGGGUACAA
rnacentral:tRNA from 1 species